rnacentral:rRNA from 1 species
GACGAACGCUGGCGGCGUGCUUAACACAUGCAAGUCGAACGGUGAAGCGCCUUCCUUUUUGGUGGGUGUGGAUGAGUGGCGAACGGGUGAGUAACACGUGAGUAACCUGCCCCCUUCUUCUGGAUAACCGCAUGAAAGUGUGGCUAAUACGGGAUAUUCUGGGUCUGUCGCAUGAUGGGUCUGGGAAAGAUAUUGUUUCGGUGGGGGAUGGGCUCGCGGCCUAUCAGCUUGUUGGUGGGGUGAUGGCCUACCAAGGCGGUGGCGGGUAGCCGGCCUGAGAGGGUGGACGGUCACACGGGGACUGAGACACGGCCCAGACUCCUAAGGGAGGCAGCAGUGGGGAAUAUUGCACAAUGGGCGCAAGCCUGAUGCAGCGACGCCGCGUGAGGGAUGGAGGCCUUCGGGUUGUGAACCUCUUUCGCCAGUGAAGCAGGCCUGCCUCGUUUGUGGGUGGGUUGACGGUAGCUGGAUAAGAAGCGCCGGCUAACUACGUG